rnacentral:telomerase_RNA from 1 species
UGGGCCGGGAGGGGUGGCGGUCUUCUCCGUCUAACCCUAAGUACUGAGUGGACGUAGGCGCCGCGCUUUUACUCCCCGCGCGCUGUUUUUCUCGCUGACUUUCAGCGUGCGAGAAAGCCUUGGCCUACCGUCGACCACCUGUCUUAAUUAAACGCAAACAAAAAAUGUCAGCGCGGCCGGUCCGCCCCUCCCGGGUGCCUGCGGCAGCGGCGGCUCGCCCGUCCGACCCCCGAUCCCCGCCUAGGGCCGCGGCCGGCGCGGGGCUUCUCCGGAGGCGCCCAAGGCCGCCGCGAAGCUAGUCUCUGUCAGCCGCGGGUCGCUCGGGGUCGGCGGGCGAUCCCGGGCCGAGGGGCCGCAGGAAGAGCAACGGAGCCGGCCUCCGCGCGCAGGGCGCUUCCCUGAGCUGUGGGAAGCGCACCGAGACGCGGCUCCUACAAGC